GGGACGGGACGAGGGCUAUUAGCGGCCGUAUUAAUAUCGCCGUUAUUGCUAUGCGAGGCUCUGCCGCUGUCGCCACGGGAGAUUUAUGCCUCUCCCCGCUCCCACACGCUGCCGAAAGGAGAAACUCGCCAAGAUGCGUCCUGGGGAAAGUCCGUGACGAGGAGGGGCCGAAGAGUGGGAGGAAGGCAGGGCAAAGAAUUGAGGUGUCUGCACUUUUUUUUUUUUUAAAGUGCUACUUUUGUUUCGCAUCGCAAUUAUCUCCUCUCCUUUAAUUCUGACGCUCGCUCCUUUGGGUUAAAAGUGCUGACGGGGGGGAUUUGCGUUUAGCAGAGCCAGACAAGCAGUGACCACAAAGGCUCUGAGGACUCCGCAGGAAGCUCCCUCGCACCAAAUCAGCAGCAAAUGUUGCAACCCGACCGGGUUUCCCUUCAAAGGCAGCUCAGGAAAUCUCUUCCAUUUAAAACACUCCCUGGAAGUUACGGCCAUAAAUCACAAAAGUUUCAAGACAAGGCGGUAGCGAAAUGGAGAAAGAAAAUAUUCUGCUGUAAUCCGGGGCAGCCGUGUUUGGUGGGGAAAUAGGAAAUAAAGAAAGGUAUAAAGUCA